GAUGAACGCUGGCGGCGUGCCUAAUACAUGCAAGUCGAGCGAACGGACGAGAAGCUUGCUUCUCUGAUGUUAGCGGCGGACGGGUGAGUAACACGUGGAGAACCUACCUAUAAGACUGGGAUAAAUUCGGGAAACCGGAGCUAAUACCGGAUAAUAUUUUGAACCGCAUGGUUCAAAAGUGAAAGACGGUCUUGCUGUCACUUAUAGAUGGAUCCGCGCUGCAUUAGCUAGUUGGUAAGGUAACGGCUUACCAAGGCAACGAUGCAUAGCCGACCUGAGAGGGUGAUCGGCCACACUGGAACUGAGACACGGUCCAGACUCCUACGGGAGGCAGCAGUAGGGAAUCUUCCGCAAUGGGCGAAAGCCUGACGGAGCAACGCCGCGUGAGUGAUGAAGGUCUUCGGAUCGUAAAACUCUGUUAUUAGGGAAGAACAUAUGUGUAAGUAACUGUGCACAUCUUGACGGUACCUAAUCAGAAAGCCACGGCUAACUACGUG
rnacentral:rRNA from 1 species